rnacentral:rRNA from 1 species
AUGGUGUCCUCCCGCAUCCUUCUCCUCGCCGCCAUCCUCCUGGCCGUGGCUUCUGUCCGGGCAAGUGGCCAGGACCUGCCGCCUCCACCGGCAACGGCUCCAGCACCAUCCGCCUGUGGAGGCGAUCAUUGCUCGUUGAACGACGUAGUCAAGCUCGACGUGUGCGUCGACCUCCAGCUGGGAAGGAUGGGCCUGGCCAACAAAGACCGAUGCUGUCGGCAGAUACGUGGGAUGCCGAACGCCGCCGACUGUUUGAGCGUUGCCUUCAGCCGGGCAUAUCUCCGUGUUAGCGCAAACAUCGUCGACGGAGUCAGUGCCGUGCUCACUGCCUGCGGCAUGGCUGGCGUCUUCGACCUCGCUUGUAUCAUCGGACAUUGA